UACAGAGGUCUCAAGCGUUGUUCGGAUUCAUUGGGCGUAAAGGGUGUGUAGGUGGCGCCGUAAGUCGGGUGUGAAAUUUCGGAGCUUAACUCCGAAACUGCAUUCGAUACUGCGGUGCUUGAGGACUGGAGAGGAGACUGGAAUUCAUGGUGUAGCAGUGAAAUGCGUAGAGAUCAUGAGGAAGACCAGUGGCGAAGGCGGGUCUCUGGACAGUUCCUGACUCUGAGACACGAAGGCCAGGGGAGCAAACGGG
rnacentral:rRNA from 1 species